UAGGAAUUUGCGCAAUGGACGAAAGUCUGACGCAGCAACGCCGCGUGAGGGAUGAAGGUCUUCGGAUUGUAAACCUCUGUUGAAUGGGAAAAAAAGGUAGCAAUACUUUGAUGGUACCAUUUGAGGAAGCACCGGCUAACUACGUG
rnacentral:rRNA from 1 species